AUCAAUCCAAUUUGGGGCAAUUUAUAGGGUUAAGGAUUGGCUGGAUUGAUGUGAAAUUCAAUUUCGUAGGUUGUAUUGGAUAUUUAGAUUGAAGCUUUCAUGGAUUAAAGAAUGAAGGUUGCAGACUGAAAAUGAGGAAAUCAGGAUGGAAGUACUUCUGGACUCCAUUAUUAGAGUAGCUACAAUCUAAUGCUUAUUGCUUUCCAAGGUGUUAGAGACUUAGAGUAAAAUGUCUCAUGAGCCAAAACCGAAGCGAUCAAAAUUCAUUGACACAUGGUUUAAAAGAACACAUGUUGAGUCUUCAAGUUCAAAUGUGGUUUCUGAACCUUCCAUAUCCUCUCCAAAUAUUGAUGUUGAACCUCAACCUUGCAUUCCUGAACCACAAAAUAAUAUCAACGCUCUUGAACGUGAUCCUGGAUUACGUUGUGCCAUGUGGAAAUAUCCAGUGAAUGAGCGUGAUAGUAUUCAAAAAACCUAUGUUUUGUUGGGUCCAUU